rnacentral:misc_RNA from 1 species
GAUGAAGAACGUAGCAAAAUGCGAUAAGUAAUGUGAAUUGCAGAAUUCAGUGAAUCAUCGAAUCUUUGAACGCACAUUGCGCCCGCCAGUAUUCUGGCGGGCAUGCCUGUUCGAGCGUCAUUUCAACCCUCAAGCACAGCUUGGUGUUGGGACUCGCGUUAAUUCGCGUUCCUCAAAUUGAUUGGCGGUCACGUCGAGCUUCCAUAGCGUAGUAGUAAAACCCUCGUUACUGGUAAUCGUCGCGGCCACGCCGUUAAACCCCAACUUCUGAAUGUUGACCUCGGAUCAGGUAGGAAUACCCGCUGAACUUAAGCAUAUCAAUGAGCGGAGGA